GAACGAGAAAGUGGAGCAAUCCAUGAGUACAGUGGCGUACGGGUGAGUAACACGUGGGUAAUCUACCUUUUAGUGAGGAAUAACCGAGGGAAACUUUGGCUAAUACCGUAUAAGCCUGAGAAGGGAAAGCAGAAAUGCGCUGAAAGAGGAGCCCGCGGCCGAUUAGCUAGUUGGUGGGGUAAGAGCCCACCAAGGCAGAGAUCGGUAGCCGGCCUGAGAGGGCACACGGCCACACUGGCACUGAAACACGGGCCAGACUCCUACGGGAGGCAGCAGUGGGGAAUCUUGCACAAUGGGGGAAACCCUGAUGCAGCGACGCCGCGUGAGCGAUGAAGCCCUUCGGGGUGUAAAGCUCUUUCGUCAGGGAAGAUAGUGACGGUACCUGGAGAAGCAGCUGCGGCUAACUACGUGCCAGCAGCCGCGGUAAUACGUAGGCAGCAAGCGUUGUUCGGAGUUACUGGGCGUAAAGGGUGUGUAGGCGGUUCUUUAAGUUUGCUGUGAAAUCUCCCGGCUUAACCGGGAGGGUGCGGUGAAUACUGAGGGACUAGAGUACGGGAGAGGAAAGUGGAAUUCCUGGUGUAGCGGUGAAAUGCGUAGAUAUCAGGAGGAACACCGGUGGUGUAGACGGCUUUCUGGACCGUAACUGACGCUGAGACACGAAAGCGUGGGUAGCAAACAGGAUUAGAUACCCUGGUAGUCCACGCCCUAAACGAUGCAUAUUUGGUGUGGGCAGUUCAUUCUGUCCGUGCCGGAGCUAACGCGUUAAAUAUGCCGCCUGGGGAGUAC
rnacentral:rRNA from 1 species